ACGGGGUGCAGCAGGCGCGAAACCUCCACAAUUCACGCAAGUGAGAUGGGGUUACCUCGAGUGCCGUCUGAAGAAGGCGGCUUUUCCAUGGUGUAAUGAGCCGUGGGAAUAAGGGGGGGGCAAGACUGGUGUCAGCCGCCGCGGUAACACCAGCCCCCCGAGUGGUGGGGAUGAUUAUUUGGCCUAAAGCGUCCGUAGCCGGCCCUGUAAAUCUCUCGUUAAAUCCAGCGUCCUAAGCGUUGGGCUGCGAGGGGAACUGCAGAGCUAGAGGGUGGGAGAGGUCAGCGGUAUUCCUGGGGUAGGGGCGAAAUCCAUUGAUCCCAGGAGGACCACCAGUGGCGAAGGCUGCUGACUAGAACACGCCUGACGGUGAGGGACGAAAGCUGGGGUAGCGAAUCGGAUUAGAUACCCGAGUAGUCCCAGCCGUAAACGAUGCAGGCUAGGUGUUGGGUCGGCCACGCGCCGCCUCAGUGCCACAGGGAAGCCAUUAAGCCUGCCGCCUGGGGAGUACGGCCGCAAGGCUGAAACUUAAAGGAAUUGGCGGGGGAGCACCACCAGGCGUGAAGCCUGCGGUCUAAUUGGAGUCAACGCCGGGAACCUUACCGGGAGCGACAGCAGAGUGAAGGCCAGGCUGAAGGUCUUGCCAGACGAGCUGAGAGGAGGUGCAUGGCCGUCGCCAGUUCGUGCCGUGAGGUGUCCUCUUAAGUGAGGUAACGAACGAGACCCGCGCCCCAUGUUGCCAGCAAAUCCUAAAGGGAUGUUGGGCACUCUUGGGGGAC
rnacentral:rRNA from 1 species